AUACGUAGGUGGCAAGCGUUGUCCGGAUUUAUUGGGCGUAAAGCGAGCGCAGGCGGUUUUUUAAGUCUGAUGUGAAAGCCUUCGGCUCAACCGAAGAAGUGCAUCGGAAACUGGGAAACUUGAGUGCAGAAGAGGACAGUGGAACUCCAUGUGUAGCGGUGAAAUGCGUAGAUAUAUGGAAGAACACCAGUGGCGAAGGCGGCUGUCUGGUCUGUAACUGACGCUGAGGCUCGAAAGUAUGGGUAGCAAACAGGAUUAGAUACCCUGGUAGUCCAUACCGUAAACGAUGAAUGCUAAGUGUUGGAGGGUUUCCGCCCUUCAGUGCUGCAGCUAACGCAUUAAGCAUUCCGCCUGGGGAGUACGGCCGCAAGGCUGAA
rnacentral:rRNA from 1 species